GUCCUGUAUUGGUGGAGUGGACUACAGUUCCACCCAACCCUCUGGCAUGGGGUCCUCAGCCACUCAGACAUCUCCCCAGCAGCAGUUGGUCCUUCAGGGAGAAGAGAGUAACGUCGCCCCUCCCCAGCAGCAGCUCCAGUUACCGGGAGUGGAGACAAUCGGUCUUUCUCCCCAGCGGCAGCCAGAGCAAAUGGGAGCUAAGACAACCGGUCUCAC